AUCUCUUGACUACAGGAUGAACAAUAACCUAAAGGCAAUGCCAACCCACUGGAUUCGGCUUACAUACUUGAGAUUGUUCCAGAAUGUUUUACACAGUACUUUCAUCACUCUGUUUUCUAUUUUAGGGCCUACUCUUCCCAAGACUCAUGUUAAAACAGCCUCUCUUGGGUUGGCUGGAAAGGCAAGAUCUCCUUUGCUUCCUGUAUCUGUGCCAACAGCCCCGGAAGUGUCUGAGGAGAGCCACAAACCAACAGAGGACCCAGCCAAUGUGUAUGAACAGGAUGAUCUGAGUGAACAAAUGGCAAGUUUGGAAGGGCUGAUGAAGCAGCUUAACGCUAUCACAGGCUCAGCCUUUUAACACGCACUGCCCAAUCGACGAGCUGAAUUUUCGGGGACCUCUGCAGUGUUACCAGUUACCCAUGAACAGCACACCUGCGUCCAAGAAUGCUAACCAGCGUGCAGGCCAGCCAUCAAGACCACUCACUCCUGGCAGAUCCUGCAGCAGUUCAGAAGGAAGACGCAGUCCUUCCUUCCUGGGCAUCAGGAGCUUCAAAAUGAGGACUCUGGGGUCCCGUAACAAAAGCUAAGAUGCAUCCUCACUGCAAUGUCAAAGCUGAGGCUGCGAGAAUAGUCCUGGGCCUUUGCCACUGCAGUGAGCGCGCUGUCAGGACAAAUGCUGAACGCUCUUCAUCAAGGCCUGUCCGUUUCUUCUAAUGUGUGGGUCUAGUCUUACAAACGCCAAGUGCAUUACUGAAGCCUGUUCCCUGCCAUGGCAAACCAGUGCAAGCUCACUAUUUCGUUUUCAAAUUUAAAGUACAGAGCACCCAUGGGAACUUUCUCACCUAAGGAUUGGAUGUUUUUCUGACAGCACAAAAAAAGUAAACAGGCAAACAGAAGCUUCUGUAACGCGGUCACACCUGCACAGGUGGUGGGUAUCAGCAAGUGGCUGCAAAGUUCACCCAUGUUAGCAAGGUAUCUGUAAAUCCACCCUUGGUUAACACUGAUGUCUGGAGAACAGGAACAUUUAAAAAUCUCCAGCUAGGGGCAUGCUGCCAGCCACCGGUCCAUUUCCUGAAGGAGGAUACAAUAUGCAAUCUUCUCAGACACCCAGUAAUUAUGAGCUUACAACUUCUAACAGGACACUGUUCAAUCUGGGUGGCUUUUGUGCCAUCCCACACUGUGAUAUUUCAAAGCUUCACCAAGUCCGUCUCCCUCAGAAGUCUGGCUGGAAGAGUUCCCCUCUCCACCCCAUCCCUCCCUGAGUCCUCCUGGGCAGCCAGUCCCGGUCAGGUGGCCAGCUCCACACAUUCCAGGCCACCCGCCCCCGCCCCGAUCUACCUUCCUGAAACCCUCUGUGGACGUGGCAGACCCAUCCCAUCCAAGGAAGGGAAGGAAAAUGGAAGGUGGUUUCAAACAGUACCUUCUCUUAAGUGAUGUCUCUUCCACCAACAGGGUCCUCACUGACUCAGAGCAGGCAGUGUUGAUGAAUGGCGACCACCAGGCUUGUUGUCAAGGAAACCUUCUGCACCACGCCUGCCCAGAGUCAGAGAGGAAAGGAGGGGAAGACAUCACUUGACACUUCUGACACAUCAUCCUAAAUCCGGUGGAUGCUCUUUAAAACUGCAUCUUCAUUGUGAGCUAGAACCUUAAACUCCUAUUGCCAUGUUUAUCUACAGCUUGCAACUAGGUGAAAUUAAAAACAUUGUGUGUGCACCCUUUUAGUUUCUGAAUUUGCAGCUGCAAAUUUGGAGUUAAUCCAUUUGUGCAGCUGAAUCGCCAAAAGGGAGCCCGUUUGCAUAUUUAUCUGUUAGGCAACUUGAAAACCCAAUAAGAGAGUUUCAGCUGAAUUAUUCCUUUCAGCUCUGCCUUUGAUUUCAAGCUUGAGUAGGUCAUAAUUUUAAAAGAGCAUGGAAGGAAUAGGAUCUUUACAACCUAAUAGCUCCUUUUAUUAGGUGGGUAAUUAUAUAUGAAUCCCUGAAUGAAAUAUUUUGAGCAAAAUGGCACUGUAACAGAAGUAAUAAUUCAGAUUAUUUUUUUACAGUUUUAUGUCGGGAAGGAAAUCUGAUGUCAAAGAGAGGGCUUGUUCAAAUGGUUCAUUAGAAAGUCCGGUCCAUUUGUGAAAUUGUUCUUUCAACAAGAGUGCUUGUUCAAUUUACUUAUAUUUUCAUGAAGUCCUUCUGAAGAGCUAUGUGACGUUAUCCUCUGGGGCAGAUAACUCUUAUUCAACAUCUAAACACUUAGGCAAACAACACUCCACUGACCUGGAACAAGGCAUUUCAUAACAUAAUAUUGAGUCUUACAAAACAUAAUUCAUGACAUCAGAAAAAAAAAAUGUUCAUUAGCCCACCUUACCUUCUCAAGGUCCUAGGAUGGGUUUUCCAUUCUAAUCCUCACAAACACGGAACAUUCUCUGAAGGCAUCUGACACCCAAGGAAAGUCACCCUGAGCGUCCAGUUUGGAAUGAGCUGCAUAUCUUGCAGAUUUCAGAGACUAGUCAUGUCUUCAAUCUGUAUGCUGUAUCUGCACAAUCAAGAGAACUAGCAUUUUUACAACAUUCCAAACUCCUCUAGUCAAAGUCAAUGAUCUUACGAGAUACAUUGUUUGAACACAUGAAAAUAUACAGUGUAUGAUUUCAGCAUGCUCUUGAAACUGUCUUCAUAAACACACCCAAUGCUCUAUCUUAGUAACUGGUGAUGGUAAUAAGUCUUAGCUCCAUGCAAGGAAUAUGUGGUAGAACCCAUUUACAUUCUCACAAGAGGCUCUUGGGAGACUGGCCCAGUGGUUUGAACAUGACCACAACUCUGUACAACCCUGCUCCCUGUUCUCUGAGAUAGUUCCCAUGCGUGUACAACUGCCUGCCCAAGUGUACCGGUAACUUUUUAAUUUCCCGGUCUCCUGAUCUCUUGACAAGAAGAAAUCUGCGAAUCCUGCAAGAUAACCUUUGUUUUGCUCUUACUCCAAGUCUAGUUCAUGACAGACAGGGCUCUUUAAGCUCAUAAAUCUCCCUGAUUCCCGUGGGGUGAUGCUUAACAGCCAACCAGCAGCUCUGCCUCCAGAAGUCAGUUCUCCCCGAAAAAGAAGAAAAUAAAGCUUGGCAGAGCAUGCUCAGACCCUGCCUCCCAAACCACCCCCCGCCCCCCAGCUCUGCUGAACUGUCAGGCAUGAGCUGCCUCUUGAAAAAGCUUGGUAUGUUUCUUUGGAAUUUCAUGCUGAUAAGAAAGCUAUUUUCUUUCCUCUAGGAAGUUCUGCAUUUGAGAAACUCACAAAAAUGCAGAGAGUUCAAAAUGCACAGAACACUUGGAGGAUGCUCUAGCCAAGAGUUAAAUAGUUCUUAGCGACUCACUCUCAAUAAGAAACCAGUCACAGCUCUUUGUUGAACAGAGCUAUAAACUUCUAGAGCAUUUAAAUAAUGGAACUUUACAUUUGGAUAUACACAUACAAUUGAACAAGCUGGAAAAAAAUCAAGUGAGGGCAGGGAUAUAGGAGGUGAAUUUAUUAAGGCUUCCUAGGAGGGGUUGGAUAUAACAUUAUUAUUCUCUUCAAAAUAAGGGUCGUUCCCAGUGACAUACAUGUUUUUGUCCCCUGCACUGGGUAAGACCUACAAAAGUCCAGCAUUGGUGUGUCAUUCCAGACAUUUGGAAACUAUAAUGUUUGGCAUUCAUUGGCUUUUCCCAUAAAGAAUCUAAGUACAGGUCUUUCUGGAAGCCUUCACAGUCUGUGCUUGAAAACGGUUAUUCAUUCCUAGUUACCCUUGUGAUACAACUGUCUGUUGACUCUGUUUAAAAAACAUCUUAAGGUCUUCUCCAAACAUAAUAGUGUCUCGUACAUGGCUGCUGAACUGAAAUUCUAACCACCCCACCCCAAAAAAGCCACCUCUAAAGAGAUCCCC